AAAUUAAUUAAGAGGCAACUCUUAACUGGCCAUUUAGGGAAAAACCGAGAGGUUCAAGCUUAAAGGGCAGAAAACGGGAGACAGCAGUACUAAACAUUUCCCGUGACUGUGACGAAGGUAGUACUUCAACAGCGUCACAA
rnacentral:ncRNA from 1 species